rnacentral:rRNA from 1 species
UACGUAGGGGGCAAGCGUUGUCCGGAUUUAUUGGGCGUAAAGCGCGCGCAGGCGGUCUGCCAAGUUCGGAGUGACAGUUUCCGGCUUAACCGGAAAAGGUCUUCGAAAACUGGUGGACUUGAGGACUUGAGGGGGAGACGGAAUUCCGGGUGGAGCGGUGAAAUGCGUAGAUAUCGUUUGGAACGCCAAUGGUGAAAACAGGUCGCUGGGGAUGAGCUGACGCUGAGACACGAAAGCCAGGGGAGCAAACGGG